UACCCUCCGAAGGCAGGAUCCCAAACCCUGAAGCUGGAGAAGGAACCUCUGGUGCAAAUGUUUCUAUGCUCCCUCCAUCAUCUCCAUCACUGAGCUUAUCGCAGAUUAGAAUGC